rnacentral:rRNA from 1 species
AUACGUAGGUGGCAAGCGUUAUCCGGAAUUAUUGGGCGUAAAGAGGGAGCAGGCGGCAAGAUAAGUUUGAAGUGAAAGCGUGGAGCUCAACUCCAUACAGCUUCGAAAACUGUCUAGCUAGAGUACGAGAUAAGUGAACGGAACUCCAUGUGUAGCGGUGAAAUGCGUAGAUAUAUGGAAGAACACCAGUGGCGAAGGCGGUUCACUAGCUCGAAACUGACGCUCAGUCCCGAAAGCGUGGGUAGCAAAUAGGAUUAGAUACCUUAGUAGUCCACGCCGUAAACGAUGAGAACUAAAUAUUGCCGCGAGGCAGUGUUGAAGCUAACUCAUUAAGUUCUCCGCCUGGGGAGUACGAUCGCAAGAUUGAAACUUAAAGGAAUUGACGGGG